CGAACCCAUAUCACUUAACAAAAUGACAAAAACUUAACACAAAAAAAUUAAGCACAAUUUUGUUAAGCACAAUGACGUAACGUCUCAAACACCAUUCCUUUGCAUCUUUUUUUUCCUUAUAAUGAAAGUUAUUGGACAUUGAGAAGAUUUUUGAUCUUGGUGCAAGAAACCAUUUAACUCACCUGUUCAUGUAAAAGUUGGUUGAUUAUGUCUCAAGGUGCCCUUAUUCCCUUGACCACCAGCUGGAUUCUUUUGCUUAACCGAUGCCAUCUGAUUUCAUUUUAGAAUCAUAAAAGGCUAUAUAUCAUUUUCCUCUCUUGCCUAUAGAAAAGCCAUGUCUACAUUAUAAAAUCAAAAUCCAGCCAAUUUGAACACCUCCACUCAUGUCCACACGCCACAGCACGGUGUCUGUCCGUCUGCUCUGAAUUUGAACAUGUAGCAUGCUUAUGGGCUAACAUCUUUCUCACUCUUUUUCAGGUUGUCACUGCUGUUUCUCAGUGUAGGUCUUUGUGAUAGCUACUGUUUUUGGCUGCUUAUUGAACUGUCAGAUAUUUUUCAGCACUACAGAUACCAACAGGUCUUUUAAGAGCUCCCUUAAUCAGCUUGUAGGUCAGUUACCAUGACAACCUGAUCUCUCGUGGACACGGCGCUUCAUGGAGAGGAAGAUGAUCACCUGCCCUCAGGUGUGUGUGUGUGUGUGUGUGGUUACAUUUUGCCAGACCCCCACUGACAGCCCCUCUCUUCACAUUUAUGAUUUCCUCUCAUCUGAAAUGGAGAUUAUGUGCAUCUGCCCUUCAAUGAGGUCACUAAAUAGCUUUUAGCUGCAUGAAAACAUGCUUACAUAAAUGCCACAUAAAUACAACUCAAUCAUCUCCAUAUUUGAUUGAUGGCUCUCUUGUAGUUGUUAUGUUUAGCUGAUAUCCCCUUCUGUCUUACAAAACAGCAAUAUAAUAAUGAUUGUUUUAGACAAAUGAUUAUUUUGUGCAGUGUAAUUUGUAGAAAGUAUAAAGUGCAGAUGGAUGGAUGAGCAGUUUGACUGCUGUAUAGAUAUAAGAUAGAUGAAUGGAUAGACGAGAAGUAGUAGUUUGAUCAUUCAGAACAGACAGACAGGCAAUGAUAUAGAUGAGUAUGUUAAUGGUUAUAUAUAGGAUGGAUGGAUGGAUGGAUGGACAGAUGGAUGGAUAAGGAGGUUAAUAGAUCGAUCGAUCGAUAGAUAGAUACAUACAUUGGUGCUUUUUAUAAAGAAGUACGUUUGUUUGCUGUGUACUGUAUGUCCUCGUGAUAUGUGGACAGAUGUCUUUUUGUCCUCAGGGAGUUCGUCUUACCUUCCCAUUACUCUCAGUGCUUGAUCAAUGGCUCCACCUUCACACUGCAGUUAUUAAGCCGAGACUUUCAAUUAUUUUACAGCGGGUCGUCAACACAUCUCUCAGAGAUACACAGAACAGCAAAGCACCUUUGUGUGCACAUCAUUAUGCCUUAAUUAAUGUCAGCUUCCUGUACUUUAAAUGUACAUACAUUAGCAUAUAUCACACAUGCUGAGCUGAAUGCACAAGGUCGACUCCUAUUGCCUACCAUCGACUGACUUCCCUCCAGAAGGAUUCUUUGAUGAAAAGGAAGCGGGCAGCAUGUCACAGCUGCUGCUUGACCUUUGGAUUGUGGCAACACAGAGCCAGCAUUCCAACACGAAAUAUGAACAUUCUCAGGUCUGGAAUUAGAAGUCAGACGUGAGACUAAUAGGCACUUUCCAUGAACAGGGUACAAACACAGUGCCUGAAACGCUUGGAAAAAUGUGAAAGUCAUUGUUCAGGAGGUACUUAACCUUCAGAAGAGGAUGAUUGUCAACCUCAGGAGGUCAAACCAAAUUUUGUAUGAGCUGUUUUAUUUUAUAUUCAUCUUACAUGACAUUUGCGGUUUGUGCAAUCCUGUUACUAAACCCUAAUUUGUUUGAUUUCAGUUUUAAAUAAAAUAAGAAAUAAAUGAAAAUCAAAAAAAAAUAAAAAAAAAAUGUAUUAUUCCAUAUGUUAUAAUACAUUUAAUAUUGUUGAAAAGUAAUAAAGAACUAUUAAAGGGAUCGUUCAGCCAAAAAUGAUUUAUCAUUUACGCAUCUUCAGGUUAUUCCAAACCUGUAUGAGUUUCUUUAUGUUGAGCACAAAAUUAUAGAUAUUUUAAAGAGGCUGGUAAUCAAACAG